rnacentral:lncRNA from 1 species
UUAAUUGCAGCUGUAGCUAUCUGUUUUAACUUUUGUGUAUCUUUCUCUGUGGUUGUGCUGGUGUUCUGCUUUUCUUGAGAAAUAAUAAACCCAGAUAUGUUUCAAGAUUUGAAGGUGUUUUCUUUGAGAAUCCUAGAUCUUUUCUGAGCAAGAAAAGUAAAUAUCUUUGAGAAAAAAGUUACCUUUUUUCAAAGUAAAAGGAAAAACUAGUGGUUAAAGUAGAGGACUUGGGAUUCACAAUACGAGUGAUUGAGAAAAGUUACUGUAUCUGGGUUUUGAGACCUCACCAGUUUCAAACUCUUUCUUGUGGAUGUUCUGGCAUUCACUUUUCUGGGAUUCAAGCUCAGCUUUUUGAGAUUCCCAGGGAAUCUCUUGGGAUUUGGAAUUAAUUUGGAAUUGUGGGGAUUUUAGCCGUUAAACAAAGCCAAUGACGGUCAAGUCCAUUUCAACAAUGACAGCCUGUUGUGUCGGUUUUACAGGGUUUUUCCUUCUGUUCUUAUCCCCACUCUCUUUGCCCUUUCUGAAAUCCAAGUCUCAAGAAGAAUCUGAAUUGUCUGAUACAUACUUGAUUUAUAAUUUUUUAUUUUUUUUGGUUCAUAUCUUUUGUAGUUUGAAAUCAUCAAGGGUAUUUGAGAAGUGGGUCUAAUGCCAAAUUGGUUCUGGGUUGCUUCAAUGGGUUGAUGCUUAUUGACAAUGCGCUUGUUCUGGUGGCAACAGUUGCCUCUGCUUAUACUCAUUCAGAUUUUACAACCCAGCAGAACAAGUUACAAAAUAUAUGGUACUCUCUCUCUACUCUCUAGUCUUACUUGUUACAAUGCAAUUCACAAUAAGUAGCAAACUCAUCCUCCAUACUGUUGUUGCUUUGAAUAUGCACAUGGUGAUUGGAAUUGUCUUGUAUUUAGGCUUUGUAGAGCCAAAAAUUUGGAGUUUCCCAGAUUCAAAGGUUCAAAAUAUAUGAGUCUGGUUAGAACACUUGCCAGGUUUUCCUUUUUGAACAUUGUUGGUACAAGAAAAUGUGGGGAUGGAGAUUAAGAGGAUUGUAAGCUGAUCGCUUGUAAAUACGUUCAGCUGUAUAGAAAUUUACUUUUCAAGACCAUAACAGCAGCUCAUAUCAAGCUUAUUUUGUUGCCACAAAUUAUAUGUUUUUGUACAUGUUCAUGAAUGGUAUAGUAAAUGUUCUUACUUAUUAUUCGUUUGGGUUAGUAAAUUUUCUUUCCUUAAUUGUGCUUCUUGUAGCUUGUAGUUUUUUUUUUUUGGAUACAUUAAUAGUGAUUGUAGUUGCUAGAGAAGAAUACUGAUGUUUUAUUCCUUUUACUUUUCCUAUAGCUGAAGCUUUACUGACUUUCAAUAGCAGAGUUGAAAGUCCUGAACUCUCCAGUGGUCAGACUGGAAAAUAUCCAUGUCUAAAACAAUGGACAUUACUGAAAUAUUAUAAACUGCAAGACCCUUGUGUUGUUUCUCUGUAAGAUCUCUCUCUCUCUCUCUCUCUCUCCCUCUCUCUCAUGGUGUUGUAUGUACAUUAAAUAUCAACAUUAUUGGAAUUAAAAACAUAUUACCGACUUCACCUGAUUAGAUGCUAGUGUUAUGAACUGGUUUGAGUUCUUGUGACCUGUAUAUUUUGGUGGUAAUGAUCAAUCAUGUAAUUCUAGGUCUUACUUCAAGAAUCCAUUUUAUGUUUCCUGUUUAACUAGUUACCUCAAACAAGUUUUACGUAGGCUCUAGUGGUCCCAAGUCUGGUGGCUACAUUGUAACAUCGUUUUAGUACAUAUCAAGUUUCUGAUAUCUGCAAAUGAUUACCAAAGAACGAUAUUCAUAUUGGUACAUUUUACUAGGUGUUGAAGUGAAAUACAAGUAGCUUAUAUUCAUAGCAAUGUUUUAAUCAAUUUUGGUUUUAUUUUUUAUUUUGACUUGGUUCAUCUUUUUCAUCACUCAGCAGCAAAUUUCCUGGUAUCUCUUCAAUUCCCCUGCGGCCUAGCAGAGUCAGCUUAGCACCAUUUGCUCCAAGACAUUUCGUGACACAGUCUUCAAUCAAUGUACAAAAAGAGAUCCAUAAACCCAGAAACAGAAGGAUAGCACACAUAGUUGAUGGGGACAGAAGUGUUCCAACACUCACACCUGUACAAGCAGCUGGUGACAAGAAACCAAAAAAGAAAGUUGCAGCCAUCAUUGGUGGAGUUGCUGCUGCUUUGCUUGUGGUUAUUGUAGUGAUACUUGUUUACAUCUAUUUAAUGCGUGUCAAAAGAGUGGUGAGGAGAACAUCUGAUACAUCAUCUUCUACACCAUCCCCCCAUGGUAAGUUAGCUAUGGGGACACUUUUCUUCUGCAUUCGUUUCUAAGUUGUACAUUCCAAACUGUUAAGGCUGUGAUAUGGCUAGCUGUGUAGUUAAGUAAAUAAGUUUCUUCUAUCUUUUCACUUCUUUCAGUUGAAUGGACAAGAGGGGACACAUCCCCCUACGCGGUUGCUCUAUCUCCAUAUGACACACACAACUUGAGGCAACUGACAAUAUUGGAACUGGAGCAAGCUACUAGCAAUUUCAAUGAAAACAAUAUCAUAGGCCAAGGCAGAUUUGGUUUGGUCUACAAGGGAUUACUCCAAGAUGGAACUAUUGUGGCUAUCAAGAGACGCCUACAUGCUCCAACUCAGUAUUUCUUUCAAGAGGUAAACAAGUUAGCAAUCAUUUCUUCUCCACUCAACCUUGACUUUCUUUGUGAGGUAGUGUCUAGACCCUCUUUUGAUGGAACUUCUUAGUAUCUUGAUUUGUCUUGAUCAAAUAUAGGUGAAGCACAUAGCUCGUGUGAACCACGUGCAUAUUCUCAGGCUCAUUGGUUAUUGUCAGGAUUCAAGUCAACAGUUACUUGUCUAUGACUAUCUUCCAAAUGGAAAUGUCGGGAAUCAUCUAUAUGGUACUCUCUCACUCACUAACUUACUCAUUCACUUAGCACAUGAUUCUCUAUCUCUAUCAUUCCAUCUAACCACAUUGUUAUGCAGAUGCUGAAGGUUUACCUAUUGGAAAGUUGAAUUUACGGCAAAGGUUAUCGGUUGCUUUGGGAGCAGCCAAAGGUACAUCAGCUAGUUCAACUUCUAGUGCAAGCCUUAAUUUAUGUUCUUCAUAAAUAUAUUACUUUUAUUUUGGACCAGGACUUGCACAUCUUCAUAGUUUGGUACCUCCCCUCCUGCACAUGAAUUUCAGGACAAGCAAUGUUCUUUUGGAUGAUAACUUUACAGCCAAGGUGUCCGAUUAUGGACUAACCAGACUGCUCAAUAAGGCUCCCUAUACCGGAUCAUCUUCAGCCAUAGACUGCUUUCUUGACCCAGAGUAUGUAAUCUCUCUUCAGUCCACUAAAUUAUUAUGUGAGCUACAAGAUAGAAUGCAGAUAGCAUCUCUUGGUCUCUGUCAGGCUAAAUUAUAUUACCAGAUCACAUAAUGUGUCAGAAUGACAUAUGCAAGGAAAACAAGAGUAAGAGUCCUCCACUAGUUAACUCACCGAAGAUUCUUGCAGGUCAUUUUUGCAUGCCAAGUGAUUUGUUUAGUGAAAUUAGCACCUAAUAUUGAUGUUGAUCACUUUACUGGAAGUCACCUAAUGCAUACCUCUAAUACUGAUACUACAGAAAGUCAUUUCGCGUAGGUUUUACCUUUUUCUUUUUGUAAAUUUAAACAUCUGUAACAGAGCAUAGAUGGAGUUCAACAAUGUAACUUGAUUGCCACUCUGUUGAUCUCAUGCUGUCAGCCCUUGAUUUUAUUUUGCUAUUAUAUAAGGCUAAGUUUCAGUCCAACAUUGAAUAGCUGUGACAUUCUUAGUGCCUUGUAACCAAAGUUGCUUUGAGUUUUGUUGAAUAUCCAUCUGUGAAAAGAAAUCUGCAGGGUUUAAGCAACAGCUUAAUUUGGUACUGAUGUCUAAUCUAAUCCUUUUUCCUAAAGGUUAGAUUCAUUGAACAAAUUUUCAGAAAGAGGUGAUGUGUACAGUUUUGGUGUCUUCUUACUGGAAUUGAUCAGUGGAUGUGAAGCAAAUGGCAGAUACCAGUUGAAUUCGGGGGAUAAUCUCGUAUUGCAGGUACGCAAGUCUUUUCAUAAAAGCCAUUAUUAGUGGCAACUUUAUAUCUCAGACUCUCAGUUUAUGCAUAUACUACUGGUUGCAACCUUUGUUCAGUUGUGAAAUUCGCAUAUGUACUAUUAAUGUGAAAAAGAGUAACUAGGUGAAGUACAUCUAUACUUGUACUUGUUUCAAAGCUUUCGGUUCUUACAAGAUUGUGUAUUAAUUUGAAGGCAAAGGAUUGUGAGGAUUUGGAGAGAUUUGUUGAUAAAACAUUAGGAGAAUAUUCAAUGCAAGCUGCAACAAAACAGAUGAUGGAGUUAGCAUUGAUGUGUAUAGAUGCUAGUGAACAAAGACCACACAUGAAGAUUGUUGUUCAAGAGCUCGAACGGAUUCAAGCAAGAGAAACUAGCCAUUUUCAAAUUGAAGUUGAUGAAGAAAUAGGUGCUGUAACUCUUGGCAGUGAACUUUUCAAAUGAUGCCUUCUGCUGUAACAGUCAUCUUUGCAUUUGCAUUCCAUUACAGAUUUGAUUGGUUUGUGAUUAGUACAGAAGAGAAAUAGAAUAUAUCAAAGCAUUCUUGAAGUAUAUAAAUCUAAUGAAAAUGGUACAGAUUGAUGGGACUAUCUGCCUCUGCUAUUUAACAAAGUCUCUUUCUGGGUUAAUGGUUAAUGUACAUGUUUAGCCCAAUUUCUGAAAGCUGUAAAUAUGCAGAGAAAGAAAGAAAAAACCAAGAAGUUUUUGGUUCUUACAAGCUGUAGUUGUAUAUUUCAAAUUAAAAAGAAAAAAAAAAGAAAAAAAAAAAGCUGUAAUUGUAGUAGUGUGAUACCUCUUAGCACUGUGCCGGGACCAGCUAAUAAUUCCUCUAGUACGAUGAGUUCGAUGAUAAGAUGCGUCAACAAGGCAAAAAACAAAAUACAAAAACUGCAUCAAAAAGAUACAUGCAUGAAAAUUAUUUUAUAGUAAAACUUGUAAUGAAAUAGUGUGAUAAAUGCAAUCUAAUCGUCUAUUCAUGUUGGUUUAAAUGCACUUUGCUGUGAACAUCUCUAGUCGGUCUUCCUCCAAUCUAAAUGCGCCUCCAUCAUUUUCUCUUCCUCUUUCUCGUACUCUUAAUUUCAUCUUUUGUUCUAAUUUCGUGAUCAAAUUUUAGAAAGCACGCCCUCCCACUUACAAAGGAGAGUCUACCUUGUGAUUCUUUUUCUGUGCAUGCAUACAGAAAAAAAAAUAUAUACAUUAAUGAAUAUAUUUUGGUGGAGAUAGUUUUUAUCCUUAACUGGAUUUUCUUCUCAUCAGCCAGUUCAUUAUUAAUGAACCGUGUCGCUUUCAUAUGUUCUGAGUUAGAAAAACAAGGCUGCAUUUUCUGCAUUUGCAAAAUACAUCUCCCACCUCAUUACUCAUUAGUUAUUCAAUAAUAUAGAACAAUGACAUUGUUUAUGAAAACAUAUAUAGUUCAACAUAUAGCUGGUCCAACAGCUACUGCUCAGCAAUUAUUCGUUCUCCCAAAGUUCAAGUUCUUCAACCAUAACAAUAUCAUUCUUCGAGGUAUUCUUCCAAGAUCAAUGACGAAGCAGCUUCGCUCCAAGAGCGGCAAACACUUCCACAGCGAAUGACAUCCUUGACACUUAAGUGAACAAAUAUCUGUGAAAUGAAAUCUUUCUCUAGCUUUACCCAAUUUCGGAACUUGGAGUUGUUAUUCGUCAUCGUAACAAAGGUACUUUUCCCUGCAACCAUCAUAGAUCAAAACCAGGUACUGUAUAAUAGUAUCAGAUUAAAUUAAGCAUUGAAUCGAAAACUCUAGUAAGUGACCAUUUUCUUCCAUAAUAUUAUACAAAUUAAGAGAACAAAUAGCAAAUAGUGAACCUCAUUUUGUUAGAUACUCUAGUAGUGAACUGACUGAACUCGAUCUUAAAACAGAAAAUUGACAAGAUUAGACGAUUUGAGUCAUGUCUAUCACUUCACGCAUGCCUUAGGUGAUAAACAAAUUCCAGACAACUUAACAGAUGUCCACUAUUUGAGUAUGUAGGAUACAGACUCACACACAACAUUUCAGAUGAAUGCUGAAACCUAUGAAUAACCUUCACUACAUGAUAAAUGAUAUAUAUGCAACAAAAUCUCAUGAGCAAUAAGGUAAGUCAAACUACUUGACUGUUUCAUCUAGUACCGCUUAUAAUUUACAUCUGCUAAACCACAAACAAUUUAAAGUCAAGGAGGCAAACUUAACAAGGGAGACUGCAUUUGCAUACACAAAAGGGUGAUCAAAACAAUAAAAGAAGAAGGCAGUAGUGGUUCUUUCUAGGUAAUUAUGUUAACUAUUUUUUCUGAAAGAAGAAACGAAUAAUAUAAAUAGGGUCACAGUAGUACUGAUGUUACAUAGCGCUUCCAAGCGUAAAUCUUUACUUUCAAGAACUCCAAAAUAGAAAACUUUUCUUGCUUCUAAUUUCAAUGACAAAAAGAUAGAUCAUGGUUCCCCUUCAAGCAAAGAGAUCACCGCCUAGUAGGAAACAAGAUUAACAUAAGAAGUGAAGUACAUAAGAAGGUAAUUUGCAGAACAAAACCAUAAAAGUACUCAAUCCAUAAUGGAUACAUUAUUCACUUUUACAGAAACAUAUAAGCUUCGAGAAUAUACUACAUCUGUUCCCUACGCAGUAUUGAUGCAUCAAGUAUAUAAGCUUUUCUGCAUCAAGUAUGAACUCACAAAAGUCCAUAACGGAAAGUUUAUUCAGUUAAACAACAGUGAAGCAUUGAAAGCGAAAUCGAAAUAUUAAUGAUGGUUCAUGAACAUAAUUUAUUAUGAUUUGAGAACAUUCUAAGAAAUUCGACAAAUAACUGGAAUUAAAUAUAUAAAAAAAAGAACAUUUGCGCUGUAUUAAAUGUUAGAAUCUUUUAGAAAAUUCCUGCUAUUUCUUCACAGAAGAAUAUAAUGGUUAUAUUUAAGUUGAUCCUGUCCUGACAUGAUAACAGCAUGUUGUUCUUCAUCACGAGUCAAAUAUAAUCAGAUGAUGGUACGAGAAUUAGAAACCAGAAUAAUCUCACUGAAAUCACUCAUGUCGAAAGCAGUUUAUUGGAAUAUGAGGAUCCUUGAUUAAUUUCCAAUUAAUCCACUUCAUGUUCAAAACAUGAUUGUGGGUAUAUUGGCUAUUCCUAUUCAACACAAGAUUUCCAAAAUACAAUAGGACUAAAGUGACAAGGUGACAUGAUUCGGAUUGAAUGUAAUUGAAGUUUUGCAUGAUCAGAGGUAUCAAACUUGAAAUCAGAAAUGCCUCUACAAGGUAACAGAUUUAAGCAUCUUGUUUAUGGUAAGUUGAUCCUUUCUCUGACCAAAUUAAGUAAGUAUCUUAAUGCUUGAUUUCUAAAUCAGAAUAGAAGAUAUUUUGGUUGAUAGGCAUUAAUUGAUCUCGCAAGAUUACAUGCAAGUCUAUGGUCUCAACAUGCGAGUCUUUAUUACAGUUAAAAUGAUGGAAGAUAACUGUGUGAAUGCUUGAUAAUAGCUGGUUGUAAUUGGAAUGUAAAUGUCAAUUAUCUGAUUGCAGGUUUCAAGCAAGCAUUAAUUUGUGCAAAGAUAUAAAUGUGAAAAUGUCUAAUUGCAGGUUUAAAAGCAAGAAUCAAUUUGAUAUUUUUGGAAAGUGCAAGGUGAUGGUUGGCAGAUUGCAUGAUUUCCAAAAUACAAAUUAAUUCUGUCAUUGAGUGCAUUAGUUGAGGGGGAGAAUUUCAUUCUCCAUAAAUAGCUACCGCUGAAGAUUGAAAGUUUCAAGCUUUUUGAACAUUAGGAAAAGGCCUUCAUAGUAUUGCCUCUGAGUCAAAAUAUUUCAUGAUAAUGUUCAUAGCGUGUUGAGAGAUUGAUAACUGAUUGACUGCUUCUCUUAUUUGCAUUGUCAGAUUGCACUUGAGAUUGGUGAUGCAUUAGUGAUCAAGGGAGAUAGAAGCAAAGAGUCACAACUAGUUAUGUUGAAGAACCAGCUCACAGUCUGAUAGUGAUAUAGUAUCAGCAAGCAUGAUUCAGUCUCUCGUGUGUGGAGAUCAUUUGAAGUGUGUGGAUCUGAAGAGAAGAAUUCUUGGUUGUGUUUAAGAACCAAGUGAUCUGGUUGUGUUGUAGAACCAGAAAAGAAAUCUGAUAGUGUUGAAGUAUCAGUUACUGGAUCUCAGUUUCUCUUGUGUAGAGUUACAUGAAUCUAUUCUCUUGUGUAGAGUGAGUGGUUGUGUUGAAGAACCAAGUAACCUGGUUGUGUUGAAGAACCAAGGAAUACUGAUUGUGUUAAGAAUCAGUAAACAAGAACUAAGAGUGUUUAAGUCUUAGUGUGGAACUAGUUGUGUUUAAGAACUAGUUGAACUGAAAGUGAUGUAGUCUCAAUACUCUAGAUUCAUUUUCUCUUUGUAGAGUUACAUAAAUUAGAGUCAUUUGUGUUGAGAUAGAGAAUUGUAACCAGAAGUGAGACUUGUGGUGUUAUAGUUGUGUGAGAACUAUACCUCUUGUAAACUUUGAUUUGAAGAUUGAAGUAAUAAUCUUGCUUAGUGCUUUUUCCCACAUUGAGGUUUUGCACCAAACCAUUUGAAAUAUAUUGUGUUGAUUAUCUUUGCCUACUUAAUCCAUUUUAGUUUCUACAAUGAUUUUUGAGAAAAUAGUAAGAACUACGGUAAACAUGCAUUUCACAGCAAUAUGUGAAUGAUCAAUGAUGUGAUACUUGUAUGAAGCAUUUUAAAAUACUUUUUAGAGCAUAUGCUUUUUCAAUGUCUAGUCGAAGAGUACCUCAUGCAUUACUGAAUUUAUUAAAUUUGAGUCAAGUUGUUGGAAAAAAAUUGUCAUAUAUCUGUGAGAUUCUAUUAUAAUCCUGAUAAUCUGAUAUGAAACCUUAAAUCUAGAAAAGUUUUUUUUUUUCUCAAAAAGAAUCUCAUGUAUUUGACAAUUAAUAAGAGUUGCGUGUUGAUUGUUUGCUUACCAAAGUUUCAGAACCUAAUAUGUCAGUGAAGCUUUUUAAAGAGAAGAACCACCCAUCAACAACAUCAUUCUUAUUAAAACAUCCAUCCUCUUCAAGAAAUCAAGGCCAAACCAACCCAAAUAAAUUUGUAUGGUAUAAAAAAGAAAUAUAAAACAAAAGAAAGCACACCAUUAACAGUUUACUCAGAUCUCACAUAAGAAACCAGCAAAUCAAGUAUAAUCAACAAAAAUAUAUCUGUAUCAAAUUCCACUUUUUUGAGCUUGAAUCCCAAAGUAAGGUAAAAGAAAGGUUACCUUCUCUUAGAUGUGUUUGGUGCUUUUAGUCUCUUAGGAGGUGUUUGGUAACACGGACAAGAUAGGAUUUCAAAUCCUAUCCUGAUAACACUUGACUAGAUUAGAUUUAAGAUAUCCAUCUCCUUUUCCUUUAUCAUGUUUGUUAAAUAAGAUUGAAAAUUAGAUAAGUAAAGGUUUUUAAAAAAGAAAAAAAUGAAUUGAGCUCGUGGCUCUAUAGAAAAUGUCCACCUCCGAAACGACGCCGUAUUGCCUCCGACGACGACGCCGCCGUUCUCCGCUGUCCGGCCACGCCUGUGCGCUAGAUCGGUCGCGUUUUGAUCGUCUCCUCCAACCCGUCAUGCCUGUGGUGGUAAAUCGGAAUGCAUCAGUGAAAGUAAAGGUUUCUAUUUUCUGGGCAGUUAUGCUCCGGCGAGCUAGGGUUUCCGGCGACGCUUCGGGCUGCUUUAGGACAACUCUUUAGAGGUAUCUGGGUUGAGAACGACUCCAUUGUUCAUCCGAAAUCGACUGGGUAAGCUACUCCUGCGUCGAUCGAUCCGAAGAACUCUAGAAGAAGAAACCCAGAUCCAUCUACAGUUCCUUAGAAAUAGAUCCAAAUCAUCCAAUCUCACCCUGCCCUUUUGUUUUUCUUCUUCGGCAGCAUGUUCUUGAGGAUGAGGGCGGCAGAGGUAGACGAGGGAGCCGCCGACGCGCUGGGCGUAGCGUUCUUGAGGACGCAGACGACUCGGCCGGUCUAAGAGGUUGUGAGUUGUGACGGCUGCGGUGGUGAGGGUGAUGAAAAAAUGGAGAUUUGAUGAGAAGCGUCGUUCGUUUGUUUCCGUCAUAUCCAUAUGGAUAAGAAUAAUAACACCUUCCCAGCAGGAUUUUAAAUCAAGGUUUGACAAGAUUAAAAAUUUCUGCUUACUUAAUAUCUGAAUGUCUAAACACAACUCCUAAUCAGAUUGGCAAGAAUAAAUCUUGUCAGGGGACCAUAUCCUGGUAAACAAACACCCCCUUACAGUUUGAGAUAACUCAGAAAUGAACCAGCUGAUCUGUAUAUAGGGGGCAGUCAGCUAAUGAAUUUACAGGAAGAACCUCAUCCAUCUGUAACAGCACACCAACCAUGCUAUAAAACCUUGAGAAAGAACCAACAGGAAUAUGCCAAUUCAACAUCUAAGGUUGUUUCAGUAACCUCUAACUGGAAAAAUAAAAAAAUUGGUUUCAAAGUGUCAUUCAACCCUGGAUGAUAUUUAACAGGAUUAAAAGAAAAAGGAAACUCCAUAAAUGUAAUCUCACAAACAUGCACGAAAACAAUUUAAAAGAGAGCGCAAUUUAAUCAACAUGCAUGUGUCUAUGAGCAUUGAGUGUACGAAUUCUGCAGUAGAUUUUCAUCGGAUUGGAUAUGUUUUCUUUCCAGUUCAGCAACAAUUGUCAUUUUUGUUAAUCAAAUUCAAAUUCAUUUCCUUUUAAUAUGAGCUAAUAACAGAUACGAUAUUGGGUCAAAUUAGUUAUUUUCCUAAAAUGGAUUCUCAUUCUCAUCUCUUGCUGCUGUAUUGUCUUUAAAAUGUUUUCUCUGUACGUGGAUAUAGCUGUUCUUCGCACUACAUUCCUCUUCUUAAUCAAGCGUGUUAGUGGUUUUUCUACUUAAAUUUUCUACGUCAAGUAAUGAUCAUCUAUGACCUACUUCUAUGGAACUAUGGAAGGUUUAAUUCAUAGAACAUAUCAGUUUUCUGCAAAUCCCAGAUUGUCUAUGAGGUCAAAGAACAAUAACUACGAAGAGAUUGUCGGUCUAGCUAGUCAAGGAAUUAAUUCUUAAUAUCCUAGAAUAAGAAAAGAAGCCUUUACAGAAAAUAUUUAACUUCACUUUAUAAAUCGGAAUCUGCAACAUGAAAGGAAAUUGUCUAUUAAAGAAAAUUUACAUCAUAGCAUGCACAACACCUACAGCUGAGAAAUUAUACUAACAAGGUCAGCAAUAACGACAAUGUGCCCCGUGACAUGUUAUCUCCUUAUCUAACUGGAUCAAUGGGCAAGGGUACUCACCUCAUCCUUAAAAAUGCCUUUAUCAUAUCGAGAACAGAGCCAAAUAUCCAUCUGAAUUAAUCUGAAAGGGCAAACUUGGGAGUAGCCCGUCUGACAAAAUAGAAACUUCUUUAGCCGUGAAGCCUCUUGAAGGAAUCACUCAUCAAGUUGGGAGAGCGCAGACAAAUAUCCGGGGAUCGGAGAUUAGUCCAAUAUGAGGUAGUGACAUGUAACUCUUCUAACUGCCGUGUUUCUCUGAGCAAGUGAUGUAUAACAUCCUUGUGCACCAUGUUGCACUCAAUACUUAAGACCUUCAAACUUGUAGCAUAUGCAAGAAUAUUCUCAACACAAUCCAUACCAAACGGGCACAGCAUAUUCAGCUCGCUGAGGUUCUUGCAGUGCUGACUAAUUGCCUUCAUGAAUUUAAUAGAAAAACUACCUAUAAUUGUCACAUCCCGACCCUUAUAUUUUUACCUUAUUUACUAGCUUAAUUAUAAUAAGAAUUUUACCGUCCCCAUCAUUAAGUUAAUAGUUUAAUUGGUCUCUAGAGGUAUUUUAAGGGACGAUUAAUUUCGGGGAAUUGUUCGUGGGAGAAAAUAUGACGACGGUAAAAAUGGUAAAUUUUUAUUCGGGUAUUAUUUUUCGGGGUGUUUUAUUUCGGAUUUGGGUGGUAUAAGAAGGUUGGACCGGGCCAAAGGGUGGUCAAGCCUAGCCCUCUUUUCUCUCUCUCUCCCUCCCGGUUUUCCCGCACCCGAACUCCCUCCCGCAGCCGAUCUUUCUGUCGCCGGCCAGCCGCCGUCCGGCCACCAACCGCCGCCGCACCGGUCCCGUUCGGUUGGCCAUCAACCCAGCAACCUUCUUGGACCGGUGACAGCUCCCCUAGCGUCGCCGUGAGGAAGAUAUCGGGCCCGAGAGGUCCGACUGUGUUAGGUUUCACGUCGCCGGAACUCCCUCCUCCGGCCACCAAUCCGGGCAAGCUUGGUACGGUUUUGUAGCCCUCCAACCCAGCAGCCUUGCCCUAAAAGGACUCACUCCCUCUUGAGCUAGGUAAGGAGAAAUUUGAGGUGGAAGUUUUAUGGCGUUUUUGAUGUUUUUAGUCGAUUACCCUAGUUAGGCUUGGAAUUAGUGUUUGUGCUAGUUAGGAAAGUUGUAGAGCAUGAUGAGAGGAUUAUUCUGUCAAAAUUUCAUAGGUUUUUGAGGUCGCCGGAAUUGGCCUCCGGCCGCCGCUGCCGGCGGAGCCGCCGCGGUUUGGGAGAUUUUUAGGGUUUUAAAUGUGGAAUAUUAAGGGGAUUAUAUUGAUGUGAUUUAUGGAAUUUUUGGAUGAGAUUUGAAUAGGUUUGUGAAUUUCCGAAGUUUGGUAUUUUUGGCGGUUAAUUAAUGUAGAAUCUGGCCGUAGGAUUUAAGUCGUAUUUUGGGGAGGUUGUAGUUACGACUGUCGAGUAUGAUAUUUUAGUUCGGAUCGUUUCGAUUUAAGAAUAUCGAAGUUAGGUAAUGAUGAGCGUAUUUAUGGCUCUCGGGUAAUUUUGCCUAUUUUGAUUAAAUAUUGGAUUAUUAGUUGGGAAAUUAAUAUUAUAUUUGGAACAGGACGUGAGGAGGCUCGAGCAGACGAGGCCCCAGAUCGACAUCAGGCUUAGGCCUAAUUUGUGAGUGGACUUUUGUUUUAAAUAAAAUGCAUGCUAGAGUUCUUGAUUGAACAAUAUUUGUUGCGGAAUAUUUUGACGUCAUUUUAAUUUGACGAAUUUUAUUUCUCUUGGAGAGUGACCGAAAAUGGGUUUUCGGUGGAUAUAAAUAUGUAUUUAUGAGAGAGUAUGUAUAUAAAAUGUUAGCUAGCCAUAUGUGUCUGUCCACCUUAAUGGCGUAGCAUAUAGCCGCAUUAUGGUGUGACGUGAGCGUUGGACGUGAGCGUAGUAGCCCUAUUUGAGUGUUUAAUUCAUAUAGGGGGUAUGGACACAUAUUUAUACACCCGUCUGUCCACCUUAAUGGCGUAGUGUAGCACCGCAUUAAGGCGUGACGUGAGCGUUGGACGCGAGCGUAGUAGCCCUAUAUAGACCCAUGAAUUUAUAUAGGGAGUAUGGACGAGUGUAAAUACAUACAUAUAUUAUAGAGUCUGAGAGGCUCGAUAUUUUAUGAGAUAAAAGUUUUAUCGCUUGCGGCAUGCAUUCGAUUUUUCCUUAGAAAUUAAUUUGGGGAAACAUAAAUAUUUUAUUUUAUUAUUUUAUUUUUGUCCACUCACUUUAACGUUAUUAAAUGUUUUCCCCUGGGCCCUUCGUUUUAAAUUGCCCAGUCUGCAGAGUUCGGGUUGGAUCUAGUAGGAGGCGUGGCAUAGUCACCCACAUUUCCGCCAGUUUUCAUCAGUAGGUUACAUGUUUAACCUACUCGUGUUUUCUUACUUCCGUUAGUGUCUAGUAGCUCUGAAUACUUUGGGAUUAUUGUAUAUUACGUUUAGAAUUUCUGAAGGAUAAUUAUGUGAUGUUUGGACGUGUUGUAUUAAGAGUGUAAUUUGGAAUUUUCGAGUUAAGGUUGUCCAUUUUCAAGGGAGAUUUUCUCAAUCUUUUCAGUAAAUUUUCCUUGGAGGUGGUCCCCGCACGACUUACUCCGGGUUUCAGGGUGAAAUUCGGGGUGGGUCGUGUCAAUAAUAGUCAAUGACUCAAGCUUUGGCCAUUUCUUUGUAGACUUGUAAAUAGACCGGAUCUUAAUUCGGGGACCCGCUCCGGAUAAAUGGUUUUUAAACGGGUUUGAAUCGAAAAUUUGAUUCGUGGAUCCGUUAACCCGUUUACUGAACGGAUUGAAUACGGAUCGAGGUUGAUCCGAUCCGUUAAGAACCUGGAUCCGUUUUAAAAUAAUUAAAUAAUAUUUUUAUAAAUAUAAUAUUACUGAUAAAUAUUAAAUAAUAUAAUAUUUAUUUAGAUAACCUAAACGUCUAAAUUGCGUCUAAAGUAUGAUUUGAUAAAGUUGAAGAUUACUGAUGCCUAUAUUUUUUUUUAUGCAUUUUGCUAAAAACAUUGGAGGUUUAGUAUUUUGGUUAUAUUAUAGUUUAUUGUUAAGGAGUAUUUUGGCCAUGUAAUUUAACUUUUGAUGUAAACCUUUAUUUUGUUAUAAUAUUUCAUUAGUGUUUUAUGAAAACUUAUGAUAAAAUUAAGAUUAUAAAUGGAUCGGAUUAACGGGUCGGAUAUCCGUUAACCCGCCGGAUCCAGAUUUGGAUCGAGCUAUCAAUAUUCUGACGGGUAACGGGUCGGAUCCAGAUCUAGGUCGAUCCGCUCCAGAUCCGGCCCAUUUACAGAUCUAGUUCUUUGCAGCUUCUUCAGAAUCAUUAACUAGUAUAAAUUUGUCCUGCACUGAUAGAACAAGGAUCUUUUGAGAUUUGGGGUUCUGUAAAAGAGAGAACUAGUCAAUUUACGUUUCAUCAAAUAACCUCUAUAGAACAUUUUGGGAAGUAUGAACAUUGACCUUUUAGAAAUAAGAAACAAGUGCGGACUUGUUAUCCGAGAGUAGGCGUGGAAGAUCAAGCAAGAUAUAGAUCCACCACAUAAUCUGGAACCGCUAUUGACAAUAUUCAUAAUCAUCUGGCUAGACUGCUCGCAUUGUCGAUUGAAUCGAAGAUCUUGAUUUCCAGCUUACUCAAGUCAACUACCUCCCAGAGGCAGGGUUCGGAAGCUGCUUCCCGCCAAGAUUUGCAAACAAAUGCCCCACGUAUUAAUUCCACAACAUUAAAUGUCAUGAAUAUACGUAUGAGUAUAUCCUUAUCCAUGUCUGCCCAUCUUUCAAAUCCUGAGUUUUUGUUUGUCGUCAUACUAGAAAAGAAGUGGCUGAAACCAUCAAUCAGAAGAAGAUACUGUGUAUAAGUGUAAAGAAUCAAUGAUUAAACUCAACCAUUGUUAAAGGAAGAAAAUAUGUUGCUGAUAUAUUGCUGAUUCGUUGCUGACGUGAUUGAUAGAUAGAUAGUCACUAUUGUGAUUAUAGGAGUGAAUGUAGGAUCUGGUUUAUUUGUAUUUAUUCCUUACCUAGAAUAACUUCUGGAACUUGUAUAUUAUAGCAUAGCUUUGUACGAUUGAGACUAUCUAAUAUACACUCAUUCACAUAUCAAUUUGUUUAUGGUAUCAGAGCACCGAUUCUGGUGUCUCUAACCCACUACUUCCGCUACAAACAACCCACUACUUUUGCCACAAACAAACACAAACAUCAUGGCUGAGGUCAUUGAAACCCCAGAACCACAAAACACCGAACUCAUUCCUUCAUCUAAAGACAAAGAUGUGAAUGAUUUUGACACACCCAACCCUUUGACCUUACACCCAUCUGAUACCACUACCAGGACAAGUACUUUAGCCGACGAAAUAUUUUCGUCGGCCUGUUAUCCUAAUUCGUCGGCUAAGACCUUAGCCGACGAAGGCUCGUCGGCUAUAGUGUCGUCGGGAAAGGGUCGUCGGUGAUGGCUUUAGCCGACGAAUCUAAAGACCAUCGUCGGCUAUUGUUCCAGACUUUAGCCGACGAACUAUUUUUCGUCGGCUAUUGUUCCAGCCUUUAGCCGACGAACAGUAUAUUCGUCGGCUUUACUGACAAACUUUAGCCGACGAAUAUCUCUGUUUCGUCGGUUAAAGUAUAUAAUUAAAAUAUUUAAAAAUAACUAUAGCCGACGACAUAGAGUCUGUUUCGUCGGCUUUAGUGGUGUUUAGCCGACGAAACAUACCAUAAUUCCGUCGGCUAAACCCUUUGGAAAAAAAAAAUUACUAUAGCCGACGAAUUGUGGCAUGUUUC